rnacentral:lncRNA from 1 species
CCGCUCCCACACACUCUGAGUGUGGAAAUGGAAGAGAGUGUUCUAACCCUUUUAGUCUGAGCAGCUGUGCAUCUCACCUGGCUGCAGGUUGAUGUUGGACAGGAACAGCAGAAGGGAAGGCCUUUCAGAGGGAGGCUCUGGCUGCAAAAGGCAGCAACCAGAAGGGAGGAACUCGGGCGAGCAAGGCAAAGCAGCAGGACAGAGAGAAGAGGUGGCCCAACUGGGGUCUCCAGGUACAGCAUGAGCAAGGCUGUAGGUCAGGUGGACACAGCCUCCAGAAGGAACCAGGAAUUGGGGCUCCCUGGACUGAGCAUGAAUCCAGAGGAAGUCCAUCCCCACCAGCUGGGCACAGAGGCCCCCUUGGGUGGAGUUAUGUCAGACUGCACAUGGUCAUCUGGUCCGGAGACCCUAGCUCUUCCCAGGACCAGCAGAGAUGCCACAAUCCUCUGCUUUUUCUCCCUGGUUCCAACAGCCCCUCUGGAGCAGCUUGUGUGGACCUGGUCUGCUCUGUGUCUCUUCUCUGCUGGCCUGCUCUACAUGUGGACUGCAGCAGGACCCAUGCACAGGUGCAGAAGCAGACUGGAUGCUGCUGCUGGUGCCCUUAACAGCCAUCAGAAUCAAACUACCUUCAUUCUAUGACUUGAUUUGUCCACCUGCAAAAUGGAUAUCAAAUACCUACCUUGAGGGAUUCUCUAAUUAAAUGAGAUGCAUGCUAAUUUCCUGCAACUGGCCAAAUUGAUUGGGCAACUUAACAGAAAUGUAUUCUUUCACAGUUCAGGAGAGCUAAAGUUUAAAAUCAAGGGGUGGGCAGGACUUGCUCCCCACAAGGUGCUUCCUCUCACUCCCAGAUCCUGCCCGCCACUUCUGGUGGUUCUACACUUCCUGUGGCUGUGGCCUCAGUGUCCCAGGUACUGGCUCCACUCACAUGGCCUGCUCCUCCAUAGGACACAUGACAUUGGAUUAGGGGCAUCUCCACAAACCAGGAUGACCUCAUCUCAGUGUCCUUAAUUGUACAUGCAAAAGCCCUUUUCCUAAAUAAGGUCACAUUGAUGGGUUCUGGGAAUUAGGACAUGGACAUAGCUUCAAGGGCACUAAGUACACUACAGAUAAUGUGUCGAAUGUUCCGUAUGACACAUCGAGCAGACAGCAUGGACUCUACCAGGUAGGGAAGACGUUGUGAGGGCUACAG